rnacentral:rRNA from 1 species
UACGGUGGGGCAAGCGUUGUUCGGAAUUACUGGGCGUAAAGGGCUCGUAGGUGGCCAACUAAGUCAGACGUGAAAUCCCUCGGCUUAACCGGGGAACUGCGUCUGAUACUGGAUGGCUUGAGGUUGGGAGAGGGAUGCGGAAUUCCAGGUGUAGCGGUGAAAUGCGUAGAUAUCGGGAGGAACACCUGUGGCGAAAGCGGCUCACUGGACCACAACUGACGCUGAGGCACGAAAGCUAGGGGAGCAAACAGG